rnacentral:rRNA from 1 species
CGGGUGAGUAACACGUGGGUGAUCUGCCCUGCACUUUGGGAUAAGCCUGGGAAACUGGGUCUAAUACCGGAUAUGACCUGCCUUGUAGAUGGGGUGGGUGGAAAGAUUUAUCGGUGUGGGAUGAGCCUGCGGCCUAUCAGCUGGUUGGUGGGGUAAUGGCCUACCAAGGCGUCGACGGGUAGCCGGCCUGAGAGGGUGGACGGCCACAUUGGGACUGAGAUACGGCCCAGACUCCUACGGGAGGCAGCAGUGGGGAAUAUUGCACAAUGGGCGCAAGCCUGAUGCAGCGACGCCGCGUGGGGAUGAAUGCCUUCGGGUUGUAACCUCUUUCGACAGGACGAAGUGAAAAUGACGGUACCUGUAUAAGAAGCACCGGCUAACUACGUGCCAGCAGCCGCGGUAAUACGUAGGGKGCRAGCGUUGUCCGGAAUCAUUGGGCGUAAAGCGCGUGUAGGCGGCUCGGUAAGUCCGCUCUGAAAGUCCAGGGCUCAACCCUGGGAUGCGGGUGGAUACUGCCGAGCUCGAGUCCGGAAGAGGCGAGUGGAAUUCCUGGUGUAGCGGUGRAAUGCGCAGAUAUCAGGAGGAACACCAAURGCGAAGGCAGCUCGCUGGGACGUKACUGACGCURAGRCGCGAAAGCGUGGGGAGCRAACAGGAUUAGAUACCCUGGUAGUCCACGCCGUAAACGAUGGGYACUAGGUGURGGRGGUGUCGACUCCYCCYGUGCCGWMGCUAACGCAYUAAGURCCCCGCCUGGGGAGUACGGCCGCAAGGCUAAAACUCAAAGGAAUUGACGGGGGCCCGCACAAGCAGCGGAGCAUGUGGUUUAAUUCGACGCAACGCGAAGAACCUUACCUGGGCUUGACAUGUUGGUGACCGCCGUGGAAACACGGUUUU